rnacentral:rRNA from 1 species
GAAUAUUGGACAAUGGGGGAAACCCUGAUCCAGCGACGCCGCGUGUGUGAAGAAGGCCUGCGGGUUGUAAAGCACUUUCGGUGGGAACGAAAUGUGCCGGGCUAAUACCCCGGCAAGCUGACGUUACUCAAUGACGAAGCACCGGCUACCUCUGUGCCAGCAGCCGCGGUAAUACAGAGGGUGCGCGCGUUAAGCGGAAUUACUGGGCGUAAAGCGCACGUAGGUGGCGACGUAAGUCGGGUGUGAAAUCCCCGGGCUCAACCUGGGAACCACAUUCGAGACUGUGUUGCUGGAGUACGGAAGAGGAGGGCGGAAUUCCCGGUGUAGCGGUGAAAUGCGUAGAUAUCGGGAGGAACAUCAGUGGCGAAGGCGGCCCUCUGGUCAAGUACUGACACUCAAGUGCGAAAGCGUGGGGAGCAAACAGG